AACGUAGGAGGCGAGCGUUAUCCGAAUUUACUGGGCGUAAAGGGUGUGCAGGCGGUUCGGUAAGUUGGGUGUGAAAUCUCCCGGCUCAACUGGGAGAGGUCGCUCAAGACUGUCGGACUGGAGGGCAGGCGAGGGAGGUGGAAUUCCCGGUGUAGUGGUGGAAUGCGUAGAGAUCGGGAGGAACCUCGAAAGCGAAGGCAGCCGGCUAGACGAUGAUUGACGCUGAGGGACGAUAGCGUGGGUAGCAAACAGG
rnacentral:rRNA from 1 species